UCCACGCUGUAAACGAUGUCGAUUUGGAGGUUGUGCCCUUGGGGCGUGGCUUCCGGAGCUAACGCGUUAAAUCGACCGCCUGGGGAGUACGGCCGCAAGGUUAAAACUCAAAUGAAUUGACGGGGGCCCGCACAAGCGGUGGAGCAUGUGGUUUAAUUCGAUGCAACGCGAAGAACCUUACCUGGCCUUGACAUGUCUGGAACCUUGUAGAGAUACGAGG
rnacentral:rRNA from 1 species